CGCCGCCCGCUCCCAACCAGGAAGCGGCAGCCGCGCGCGGGCGGCGGGAUUGGGGGCACAGCUGGAGCCCCCCCGGCUCCGGCAGAGUUGGGGUUGCUAUAGCUGAGGGAUUGCAGCCCCUCCCCUCCCCACAGGGGACUUCCCACCUCUCCCGCAAACAGGUGAAAUCACUGAUGGAAAAUAUCUGUUCCUUGCUACACAAUAAUGCUGACAUUGUAAGCUAAUGCUUGUCUAUUUGACAGGGACAGAGGCCUCCAGGGCAUCCUCGCCUACUGAAACAUCACCCACCAUUCCUGCAAGUUGUGGGGGAUCCAGUGGAGAAGAUAGCAGCAGGGUUCUGGUCAUGUUACCUGUUGCUUCCAAGAAGGAGGACAGACCUUGGAGCUCUACCUCGACAGCUGAACAAGAACCCCAUAGAUGCACUAUCUUGGCAAUGAAGAUGGAGCCUGCUGAGACACGUGCCUACAGUUUGGAGUAAGCAGUGUACCAGGAGUGAUCCAGAAGGUCAUGGCUUACUUGCAGGUCUUAAGGGAGUUGUUCCAUGUUUUGAUGAUGUCCCAAUCAGAACAGGGUCCACGCCAGACUUAGUUGUCCAACUGCUAGAAGUGUUAUGCUGGAUCUCCAAUGCUGGUCUGAAACACAAGCAAGAUAAAUGUGCUUUUAGAGGGUUGAGUUUGGAGUUCCUGGGGUUCUGAGUUGAUGCCACUGGAAUUUAUCCAACAAAUGCAAAGAUAGAAGCUAUUCAUAAGGCUCCAACACCUAAGAAUAAGCAGGAACUGCAAGUGUUCUGGGUCUGCUUAAUUUCUACCAUUCUUUCCUAAAAGACAAGGCUACAGUUGCCGAGUCUUUGUAUCAUCUGUUCGAUAAAGAUGCCACCGAGAAAUGGAGUAAACUGCACAACAAAGCUUUCAGUGAUGUGAAAUGAUUGUUGUUGUCUUCUGACAGUGUACUAUUCCAUUAUGACAUGGAGAAACCACUUCUACUUACUUGUGAUGCUUCAUCAUAUGGAGUGGGGGCUUAGUCACUUGCAGAAUGAUGGACACAAAGCUUCCAUUGCCUUUUAUUCCUGAACUAUGAAUAAGACUGAGAGUAAUUAUGCCCAAAUUGACAGGGAAACUCUUGCAGUUGUUACUGAUUUAGGAAAUUCCAUGACUACAUAUAUCACUGCAAAUUCACAAUUGUGACAGAUCAUAAACCCUUACUAGAGUUAUUCACCAAGAGUGGAUGAACAUCCCAAAUCAUUUUAUCAUGUAUGCUUUGCUGGUCCUUACUUUUAAAUGCAUGACUAUGGAUUUCAACACUACUCUUGGAAGUCGAUAACAAAUGCCAAGUCAUUUGCCAUUAUCCUGUUCUGAAUUUACUGUUUUUGCUAUGAAAUUCUGAUGCUAAAAUCCUCUUCCAAUCCUCCUCUCCAGGCAGAUAACAUGGCUUGUAUGGCUGCUGAAGAUCCAGUGUUAGGCUGAGCACUAGACUGGGUAUGGAAGGGGUGGCCUUCAGCAAGGGUUGAAGAUGAAUUUAAGCCAUUUAUUAUACUUUAACAUAAACUUUCUGCCCUUAAGGGAUGCCUCCUAUUGGAUAACCGAGUGGUCAUUCCCAGUGCAGGUUGAACACGAGUUCUUGAUGUUCUCCAUGCAGGUCAUCCAGGGAUUAUUUGUAUGAAAGCACUUGCCAGAAGUUACAUCUGGUGGCCAAAGAUAGAUGCUGACAUUGAGCAAACAGUAAAGAGGUGUGAACUAUGCCAAGCUACACACUGUGCAUCAGCUAAGGCUCCAAUCUAUCCAUAGGAGGUGACCAGGACAUCAAGGUCUUGUUUGCAUGUAAAUUUUGCUGCCCCUUUCCAUGGCCAGAUAUUCUUUAUUGUCUCAUAGUGGUUGGAAGUUGUUUCUGUUGCGUCAAUGACUUCAUGCACUGUAAUCCGAGUAUUAUGAAAACUGUUCACAACUCAUGGUCUUCCAGAUAUCAGUGUGUCGAACAGUGCUGCUCAAUUCACUUUAAGUUUAAGGUUAUGGUUAUGUUCACACCACAUCCUCACUAUUCCACCUAUCAUCAAAUGGCCAAGCAGAGCAGAUGGUCUGAACUACUAAAGCUGCAUUGAAGUGAAUUGUUGAUGGCGAUUAGAAACAAUGACUAGCUAAUACCUUACUACAACAGCAUAUAUCUCCAUGCACUGCUACAGGUCACAGUCCUGCAGAACUACUGAAAACUCAUUUGGAUCAGCUCCACUCAGAUAUGGUAACUCAAUACUAGUGCGUUUGGUAUUCGGUUACCGGAUAGACCAGAAUAGCUAAAAAUGUUUGAGCUAAUAAUAGGAGAUUUAAAAAUUUCCCUGAUAUCUGUCAGAAGAAAAAAACAGUAAAAUAUAAAACUGUCUAUCAAGUUCUUAACAAGUUUAUAGAACAAUUUUCUACUUCAAAAUGUUAAAGAAACAAGAUAGUCAGAACCAUUUAUUAGGUUCUGACCAACAAGGAUGAACAGAUUAAAAACAUGAAGAUGAUCACGAAUUCUGGAGGAAUUAAUAUGGUAUGAUAGAAUUCAUUCUUUUAAUUAAAGGAAGGCCUGAGGAUUAUAAAAACAAGGACCUGGACUUCUGAAGGCAGAUUUCAACCAAUUAGAGAAACAAGAGGUAGGAGUUGAUGGAAAAAUUAUAAAAAAGGAAAAGAAAAAGGAGUUCAAGGAGACUAGUAAUUUCUAAAGGACAUAGUAUUGGAGAUACAAUAUCAUGCUAUUCUAAUGCAGAGAAGAGAUAGAAGACCAAUGUGGAUAAACAAGUUGUUUUUAAACUACCUUGGGGGAGGGGGGUGAAAACACACACACACACACACACACACACACACAAAAUCAAGAGAGCUAUACAAGCUAUGGAAGGAAAAACCUAUCACUAAAGAACCAUAAUGAACAGCAUGAACAUGAACAAAAAUCAGGAAGGCAAAGGCACAAUACAAGUUAACAACUGGCAAGAUCUAUUACAGACAAGAAAUUGUUCUGUAAAAACAUCAGAUAGAAGAACAGAUCUGAAACUGUCAGUCCACUGCUCAAUGAAGAAGGUUAGAUGUUAAUGGGAAAAAAAAAGCAAACAGACACACACACUGAAAACAAACCCUCCUUUGUUUUAGGUCUUUACUGCAACCAGACAAUUAGCAAAGUUAAAUAUAUGCAGAGAAAGGGAGAGAUAAAGAUCAUAAUAACCAAUAACAUGAUUGGAGUAAUAUACAAUUAUGAUAGGAAGGAUUUUGACACAGGACAUCUCUUAGCUUCCUGGGAGCAUGUCCCCAUGAGCAGGAAUGUGCAUUUCCCCAGGAACAAACACUAGUGGCACAAUAUGUGCUGCUGCUGCUUGUCCCUAGAAAACACCUGUGCACACAUGCUCUGGCACUUGGCGCACUGCCCUGGGUAGGGUAGGGGAGGCUUAGGCCAGCACCUGGGAUGGCCCCAGCAGCUUUACCAGGGGUUCUGAGGGCUGGGGAUCUUGAGGGCUGCAGCCACGGCAAUCUGGCAGCCAACGCAUGGCUCUAGCUGGCCAGACUCUGGUUUCUGGUGGUGCAUGUACCACGUGUACUGCCCCACUUUAAAGCAUGGGUUUGUUUGUUUUUUUGAGUCUGGAAUCUCUUGGUGUCACAAACAAAAAACCCCAAAUCACAUUAACAGUGCAGGGAAUGCCUGCAUGUGCACCGCAUACCACAGGUUCACACUCAUCUGAACAUGCCCUGGAAGUCCAGUAUAGUUCAACAUUUUUAUUAAUGACUUUGAAUGCAGAAAAAAGUCAGGAUUAAAAUCUAAGGCGUUCUUGAUAAUUUGGAGAAUGGUGCUAUAUAUUAUUCUAAAAUAAAAUUUGACAUUAUAUCUGGACCAUCAAAUAAUUGCCUUGGCAGUAGUACUGACAAGAGAGGUAUGGAGAUUAUGGUGAAUCACAAACUCACAUUCGAGUCAGUAACAUUUCAUAGACAUUUGGACUGGAAGGACCCCAGAGGAUCAUCGAGUCCAGCCCCCCAAACCGGGGGCAGGAAGUCAGCAGGGAUCAUAGGAUCCCAGCAAGAUAAGCAUCCAAAUGUGUCUUGAAGGUGCUCAAAGUGGGUGCUUGAACCACCUCCAUGGUAGUCUAUUCCAAACCUUGGGGGCUCGGACAGUAAAGAAGCUCUUUCUUAUGUCUAGCCUGAAUUGGUCACAACAGAGUUUGUAACUGUUCGUUCUUGUCAUCCCUUGGGGCGCUUUGGUUCAACAGACAUUCCCCUAGAUCCUGGUUAGCACCCCGAUAAACUUAUAGGCGCUCACCAGAUCACCCCUGAGCCUGUGCUUUUCCAGGCUGAAGAGUCCCAUAGCUCUCAGCCUCUCAUCAUAAGGUCUGUUUUCCUGACCUCUGAUCAUGUGCGUGGCUCUCCUCUGGAUUCUCUCAAGCUUCUCCACAUCCUUUUUGAAUUGCAGAGCCCAAAACUGGAUGCAGUACUCCAGUUGUGGCCUCACCAAGGCCGAGUACAGUGGAAGAAUGAUGUCCCAGGAUUUGCUUGAGAAGCAUCUAUGGAUGCAAGCCAGUGUUUUGCUUGCUUUACUAGCCACAGCAUCACAUUGAAGGCUUAUGUUCAUCUUGUGGUUAAUCAUGACCCCCAAAUCCCUUUCAUCUGUAGUGCUAACCAGCAUAGCACUGCCAAGCCUAUAAGCAUGCUGCAGGUUUUUUCUCCCAAGGUGGAGAACCUUGCAUUUUUCGGUGUUAAACACCAUCAGGUUCUCAUCCACCCAUUUCCUGAGCCUGUCAAGGUCAGCCUGGAUCACCCUCCUGUCCUCAGGUGUGGAUGCUUUUCCCCAGAGUUUGGUGUCAUUGGCAAACUUGGCCAGUCUGCUUCUGACACCAAUGUCCACAUCAUUGAUGAAGAUGUUAAAUAGUAUAGGCCCUAGGACAGAACAUUGAAGGAGUCCACUGGUGACCGUGCACCAAGACGAUUGGCUCCUGUCAACCACCAUCCUCUGGGUCCUCCCGCGGAGCCAAUUUCCCAGCCAGCCAAUCACGGUGAGGUCGAGACCUCAGUUAGCCAGUUUUGCCAAGAGGUGAUCAUGGGAUACCAGAUCGAAUGCUUUUUUAAAGUCAAGAUAUACAAUGUCAAUCUCUUCCCCCUUGUCCAGGUGAUAGGUCACCUGGUCAUAAAAGGAAAUGAGAUUGGUCAAGCAAGACCUACCCACAACAAACCUAUGCUGGGUAUCCCUCAGGAUAUUGCCUUCAGCUAGUCUGUUAAGGAUGGCCUCUUUGAUAAUCUGUUCCAAGACCUUCCCCAGGAUAGAGGUCAGGCUGAUGGGCCUGUAGUUUGCCUGAUCUACUUUCCUCACUUUCUUGAAGAUUGGCACGACGUUGGCCUUCUUCCAAUCUUCAGGCACUUCACCAGAGUGCCAGGAGCUCUCAAACGUCCAUGCCAGGGGCUGAGCUAUGAUGCUUGCCAGCUCCUUGAGUACCCUUUAAGUCAGGGCUGGUUGACUUAAAGGUAUCCAGCCUGUCAAGGAGUUCCUUCACAAGGUCAGCUUCAAUGGAGGGCAAGGAAUCUCCCUCACCCAGGCCUCCCUGACCCACAGUGGGCAGGGGCGUUCCAUGGGACUGGUGAAAAACUGACACAAAGUACCCAUGUAGCAAGUUGGCUUUUUCCUGGGCAUCGGUUGUCAGUUGUCCCAUCUGGUUUAGCAGGGGUCCAGUGUUGCCCUUGCUUUUCCUCCGGCUCCCCACAUAUCUAAAAAAGGACUUUUAUUGUCCUUGAUAUUUGUAGCUAGCUGGAGUUCCGUCACAGCCUUGGCUUUGCUGGUUUGCUCCCUGCAGGUCUGGACCAAAGCAGAGUAUUCCUCCUUGGUGGUGGUUCCAGUCCUCCAUCCUUUGUAGGUCUUCCGUUUAAGAUGCAGGAGGUCCGCCAGUUCCCUGGAGAGCCAAGGGGGCUGCUGUGCCCUUUUGCUGCCAACAUGCUGCUAUUAGAAGAAAAAGCAAAUGUAAUUUGGGUUGCAAUAAUGACAGUAUUGCAUAUAAGAUAAGGAAGGAUACUUGCCUUAUUACUGGUUAGGCCUUGGGUGCAGUAUGCUUUUUAGUCCACUUUUGGCUGUUUCGUAAUUGAUAGCGUUGGAAGGGACCUGAGCAGAUCAUCAAGUCCAACCCCCAAUAUCCAGGGGUCAAAGAAAACCCAUGGGAAAAAAAUAGUAGAGCAGCGCAUGCCACUCAAAACCUGAGCCUGGGUCGUCAGAGCUAUGCUGUAGCUGCUGGCCAGGCUCUGUGCAGCAGGAUCACUGCUGCUGCAGCCCUGGGAGGCUCCCAGGACCCCAGGUAAAAGCUGCGAGGGCCAGCCCAGUGCUGGCCUCAGUCUCCCCUACCCCACUCAGGGUAACUUGCCAUGCAUCAGGGGGUGUGUAGCACAGGAACUAGUGGUGGAACGAGGUGCACUGCUACUACUUGCCCCUGGGGAGUAGAAUAUGGCAGUGGGUUUAAACUACCAGAGACAGAUUUAGAUCACAUCUCAGGAAAAAUGUAACUGUUCAAGCAGCAGGACAAUGGAGCACACUGACUGACUAAUACAAUUGUUGAAACUCUUGCAUUUAAGAUUUACAAGAAUAGAGGCUAGGAAGGCAUCUAUUUGGGAUGGUUAGAAAUAGCCUAACCUGCACCUGUGCAGGGUUCAGACAAGAUUAACUUUGGUAUCUUUUCUACUUUGAAUAUUCAAUGAUUUUAUAAAGAUACAAUGCAGAUAUAAAACAAUCCUAUUAAUACAUCUGCACACAUUUAAUCAUGCAUUUUCUGUUCUGCAUUUACAUUUCAAUAUACAAUCCUUCGUGAACAAAAAUCUGAACUGAAACAACUGUUAAAUGUUUUGAAGCUGAAGUAGGAAUGUGGUGACCUGUCACAGAUCUCUAAUUCAGUAUUCCUGGAACAAUUUUUCUUUUGUUUUUCCUCUAUUUUUAAAGUUAUUUUUAUUUCUCUUUUACAAUCAAGUUAAAUUGUUGGUAAUUUCAGCUUAAUGGGGCUGAAGAUUUACACAUUUUCCAUAUUUGUUAUAAAGUUUUCUAGGAAGUCAUUUUUCUGAUGGCAUUUCUCUCACACUGAAAUUAUACAUGCAGUUUCACAAUUUUGUAACUGGUACUGAGCAUUUUACAAAUCAGCAGUCUACUAAAAUAUAAGUCCACACUAUGUCAAAUAUAAUGAUGUAUAUUAAUACAUCAAUAUUUCACUAAACCAUAUGGUUUAUAAUAUGCAUAAAAUAUUGAUUUCCUCUAUCCACUUGGCAGCAUUUGAAAAAAGAAAAAAAAACACUUUUACUCGCAUAUUAAUUAGUAUUAUCAUAAAUAAAUAGAACUAAGUGUCAGUGUGAUUUAGUUUCCUGUCCAUUCAAUGUAUUCAUUCAAGUUGCUGAAGGAUCUUAAUGGUGGGCAGUACCUCAAUAGUUUAAUAAAAGUAAUCUAAUUCUUUGAUUUGAUUUAAUCAGAAAAUUAUAAUUCAUGAUAAUCUAGGAACCAUAAACUCUAAAUUUACAAGGUUCUAAGACAUGGCACAGCAACAAUAUUAACAUUUAUAGAUGACAAUUUUAUAGUAAAAUAGAAGCAAUUUUUUGGAUUCUCAACUGAUUAACUCUAUCACUAAACAUUUACUACUAUGAGGAAUGCCUUGUAAAACAUUUUGAUCAAUAGUUUAACCUUUGUCCAAGCUUGUCUUGUACUGAAAAUAUCUAUUUGCAUUGAAUGCUUUUGUCAUUGUUGUCUGGAGACAGAUUGACAUCAUUGUUUCUUCUACUUUAUAUUUAUAUUUUCUUAAUUGAGUUUUGUUCCUAACAGCAAACAUGCCUUCAUAUUCCAUUUUUGUAAUGCUUGUUUUCAUGUAUAAGCCAUUGUUUAUCUUCCAUUGCCCUUGAAAACUUGAAAAAAAUACUACUAUUAUUUCUAUUAACAAAAAAAGCACACAUCAUCUAUUACGUUAAA